rnacentral:rRNA from 1 species
UACGUAGGGUGCGAGCGUUGUCCGGAAUUACUGGGCGUAAAGAGCCCGUAGGUGGUUUGUCGCGUUGUCCGUGAAAACUCACAGCUCAACUGUGGGCGUGCGGGCGAUACGGGCAGACUGGAGUACUGCAGGGGAGACUGGAAUUCCUGGUGUAGCGGUGGAAUGCGCAGAUAUCAGGAGGAACACCGGUGGCGAAGGCGGGUCUCUGGGCAGUAACUGACGCUGAGGAGCGAAAGCGUGGGGAGCGAACAGG